CGCCUCUUGAAUUACAUAAGAGGUCCAGCCUGCCCAGUGACUUUGUUCAACGGCCGCGGUAUCCUAACCGUGCGAAGGUAGCGUAAUCACUUGUUCUUUAAUUGUGGACUAGUAUGAAUGGCAUCACGAGGGUUAUACUGUCUCCUUUUUCUAAUCAGUGAAACUAAUCUCCCCGUGAAGAAGCGGGGAUAAAAAUAUAAGACGAGAAGACCCUAUGGAGCUUUAAACAACAUAGCAAUUAACAUUAAAACACAAAAUUUUCCGAACCAUUUAACCCACAAAAUAAUAUGACUAUGAGUUUUUGGUUGGGGUGACCGCGGAGCAAAAUACAACCUCCAUGCUGAAAGAUAUGAACCUCUAAGCCAAGACCUACAUGUCUAAGCAUCAGCACACUGACAUUUAUUGACCCAAUAUACUUGAGCAACGAACCAAGUUACCCUAGGGAUAACAGCGCAAUCCACUUCAAGAGCUCCUAUCGACAAGUGGGUUUACGACCUCGAUGUUGGAUCAGGGUGUCCCAGUGGUGCAGCCGCUACUAAAGGUUCGUUUGUUCAACGAUUAAAACCCUACG
rnacentral:rRNA from 1 species